CGGCCCACUAAUUACCUCCCCGACCUCUGCUGAGCGUCUCCCGCUGGUUCCGCAGGGUGCGAGCGCCAUCCAGUGGCGGCCUGGCAGCGAUCUACAGCUUCGUUAUUAGGAACUUAAAGUAAAAUCCGGCUGUUCUAACCUUCCUAGAGUUCCCCAAGUUCAGAAGAAAGGAUGGUCCUGCGACCCUCCCCGCCCACCGGGGAGCAAAAUAGUCCGGGACCCUCCUACCCCGCCUUAGAACUGAAUGUGAGGACUGGAGGUGCAGCAGCUAUUUAGCAACCACGUGGUGACCAAUAAGGUGAUGAAGACUGCAUGGUAAGGAAGCAGAAAAAUGGAGAAAACCUGGUUCCCUGAUGGCAUCACUGAGCUCGUGAACUGCCUACCUCCAGACUUCAUGUUUGUUAAAAGACAACUUUCAAAAUAAGGAUUAUUUGUGGCAGCCACUUGCGCCAACCUCCUGGCUAUAAUUGAUUGGAGAAGAAGGUUAUCACCUGACCUUCAUAGGCCAAUCAGAUUUUCCCUCAUAGGACUCUGAAUAGAACUAAAUACUGGCCCUGGACUGACUCUUAAAUGAAAGAGAUGUGGACUUGUAUGUUAUAGAAAGGCUUUUUACCAGAGAAGUAGAAAGCUGGUCUGUCAGUCUGAGUCCAAUCAGGAGAGAGAAACCACACAGUAACUUGAAUAGAGACGAUUUAAUAAAAAGAAUUAUUAACUGUAACGCAGGAUUAGAGAAUGAUGGUUUGACUAGUAAGAAGUGAAGAGAACUCUAAAGAGUACAGGAAUAGUAGAAAUAAGGAGCAGCCACCCCUAGGGCUGAGACACGGUGCCCAAGGAAGCAGCACCUCCCAGGACUAAGAUCCAGACCUUGGUGGCCUCAGGUCCCUGCAUGGAAAAAGAAAAGAAGUCACUGUGGUUCCGCAUGAGUGGACCUUGCUGGAAAUCCACCCUCUGUUCUCAGAGAGGUGUCUCUCUGGAAGCACAAUGCUAUAGAACUACCUGGACAUGCAGGAGUUAGAGGAGGUCAUCGAGAGGAUGGGACCACCAGGUGACCCUCCAGCUCGACCUAGCCAAUCAGAGGCUCCUCAUGCCCUCCCCGUCCUUGGACCCUGCAUCCCACCAGCCUUCCCCACACUAGAAGCUCCGUCAAGGACACGCUCUUGAGAGAGUAAUGUAUUGUCGAGACCAUCUGGACUGUAUACAUGACUGAAGCCAGUUAAAGCCUCUAAAUAAACUUUUAAGAUUCUGGCAGGCAGAUGCAGAGAUCCAAUUGUCUCGCGGCUGCCCAAGACAAGCCUCGUAAGUAAGUUCCUUUGCUUAUUAAACCUGCCAGCUACCCAUCUGGAGUGGUCUGCUUCUUUCUUCAGUCUCUCCUUGCCCUUUGUGUUUGGGAGCCAGUUUCAGAUUUCACCUAGGAAACUCUGGAGGUUGUAAACCAACAGAGUGCAAGAAGAGGCUGUUGCCAGGAGAAGCCUCUGGCCACCGGGUGCUGCUGGCUGUCUUGCCCUGCAGGAGCUGGGCACUGGAGAAGCUGUGGCACUGCAGGAAUCUGGUGCUGGAAGAGCUGCCCAGGCUUCCAGAGCCAGACGUGAAGACCACACAUGUGCCUGGGCUCCAAGAGUUUACAGUGUGAACCUUAAUAGCUUGUCAAGCAAACACAGGAGAGCCAGAAGCAAAACCCUUCCUCCUGCAAUGUCUCUCUUGCACCCUCUGCUGACAAAGCUUCACGUCGUGCCAGCUGGCAAAGGCAACGUUUAAAGGACCCGGGUCCAUUUCACAGUCUAGGCAGUGAAGGGGAAACGGCGUGCUGAGACCAGCUCAGUUGGUCUUCAGGGAGAGAAUAAAGCUAAACAAAAACCACGACAGAGCCAUAAGGAAAAGACCCAACAAUGCAAUAGAAAGGGAAAAAAUACAGAGAAGCAGAGAGAAAAGCAGAAGCGAGAGAUAAGGCAAGAGGCCUGACCACCUUUGCUGUCCUUCCUGUGACCCAGCUGCAUCCUGUCCUUUGAUUCUAGGAGACACUUCUCUUUUUAAUAAAUGCCUCCUCUUUGUCAGCUGAAACUAGCUUGAGCUGGUUUUCAACCCUGCGACAAAGUCAUCCCAAUCAGUACAGGCUGGCAAUAAUAAGUCACUGAAUUAA
rnacentral:lncRNA from 1 species